UUUUUACUCCCUCCGUUCCGAAUUACUUGUCGCACGUAUGGAUGUCUCUAGAUGUAUUUUAGUUUUAGAUACACAGCGACGAGUAAUUUGGAAUGGAGGGAGUACAUU
rnacentral:pre_miRNA from 1 species